UAUUUUGUUACGGUUUCAAAUUUAUUAGACGUUAGCUAACCAUGGAAUUUAAAGAGAAUAACAGUUAAGAAUUUUUUUUCUUGUUACGCGAGUGAGCAAAAGUAAGCGUUAUAUUUAAGGCUAAGAUAGUGCCAGCAGCCGCGGUCAUACUAUCCUAAAAAGUAAAUAGAAAUAGUUUAGAGUUAUAUAUUUAAAGAAUAAUGUAGUACUUUGGUGAAAUAUAUUUUAAUUAUAUACAUAAGUAAAUAGAUAAUUUAUAAAGACAAACCACAAACAAGGAUUAGAGACCCUUUUAUGAUGUAUUUAAAAAUUAAUUCUGGGUAUUAAAGUGCUAUCACCUAAACCCAAAAAACAUGGCGGUAAUUUUAAAGCUUAGGGGAACUUACUUAUUAAAUGAUAACCACCAAGAUAAGUCACUUUAUGUAAAAUUUUGUAUGCCGUCGUCGUGAAUAAAUAUUAUAUUUAUUCAAAGUAAUAUCUAUUUUAUAUAAUGACAGAUCUAGGUGCAGAUAAUCUUAAAGAAUAAAGCGAGUUACAAUAAUAAAUUAUAUACUAUUCUGGUCUUUAACAUACCAUCAAUAGGUGGACUUAAAAGUAAGAGUGUUUUAUUAUGAUUAUUCUCUGAAUAUAUCUAAAAUUGUGC
rnacentral:rRNA from 1 species